rnacentral:tRNA from 1 species
CAAUUUUUCCUUUCGUAAUACCCUACCCCCAGGGGAAGUCGAAUCCCCGCCGCCUCCUUGAAAGAGAGAUGU